rnacentral:rRNA from 1 species
GACGAACGCUGGCGGCGUGCCUAAUACAUGCAAGUCGAACGCAGUGGGGACGGUUGAGUAACACGUGGGUAACCUCCCAUCAGAGGGCGUAACCCUUGGAUACAGGUGCUAAACUGCUACUGAUGGAUGAACCCGCGGUGCAUUAGCUAGUUGGUGAGGUAACGGCUCACCAAGGCCACGAUGCAUAGCUGACCUGAGAGGGUGAUCAGCCACACUGGAACUGAGACACGGCCCAGACUCCUACGGGAGGCAGCAGUAGGGAAUCUUGGGCAAUGGACGAAAGCCUGACGGAGCAACGCCGCGUGAGUGAAGAAGGUUUUCGGAUCGUAAAACUCUUUUGUUAGGGAGGCGGUACCUAACCAGAAAGCCACGGCUAACUACGUGCCAGCAGCCGCGGUAAUUC